CUGGCGGCAGUAGCGCGGUGGUCCCACCUGACCCCAUGCCGAACUCAGAAGUGAAACGCCGUAGCGCCGAUGGUAGUGUGGGGUCUCCCCGCCGGGAGCGGAUUUGAACGUUGCGCAGC
rnacentral:rRNA from 1 species